rnacentral:rRNA from 1 species
GUACGGGAGGCAGCAGUGGGGAAUUUUGGACAAUGGGCGAAAGCCUGAUCCAGCCAUGCCGCGUGAGUGAAGAAGGCCUUCGGGUUGUAAAGCUCUUUCGGACAGAAAGAAAUCGCAUCGGCUAAUACUCGAUGUGGAUGACGGUACUGUCAUAAGAAGCACCGGCUAACUACGUGCCAGCAGCCGCGGUAAUACGUAGGGUGCGAGCGUUAAUCGGAAUUACUGGGCGUAAAGCGUGCGCAGGCCGUUUUGCAAGACAGGCGUGAAAUCCCCGGGCUCAACCUGGGAACUGCGUUUGUGACUGCAAGACUAGAGUACGGCAGAGGGGAGUAGAAUUCCACGUGUAGCAGUGAAAUGCGUAGAGAUGUGGAGGAAUACCGAUGGCGAAGGCAGCCCCCUGGGCCAGUACUGACGCUCAUGCACGAAAGCGUGGGGAGCAAACAGGAUUAGAUACCCUAGUAGUCCG